rnacentral:tRNA from 1 species
UGGGGCAUAGCUCAGCUGGGAGAGCGCUUGAAUGGCAUUCAAGAGGUCAGCGGUUCGAUCCCGCUUGUCUCCACCA